rnacentral:sRNA from 1 species
AGUUGUCAGUUUAUCCAGAUCAUGUGUUUAUCUGAGGCUCCAAGUUCUUCACCAACCUACAUAGAGUGAGGUAAGGGAGAAAUGGUCCAUGCAAAAAUCUGGGCAGCUGUUUCUGGAGGAUAUAGAUAUCAAUGGCACUGAGACAAAGCCAUCAGAUUCUCAGAUGCUUACCAGGGUUCUAAACUAUUGAGGCAAGCUAUCCAAAUGAUUUUUUGUUUGGCUUUCAUUAGAAAUUUCUCCUCCGCUCUCAAAAUAGACUUUGUGGAAUCAGAGCAUAGGACCCCUCCUUCAGAUAAUAUAAACACAGAGAAAGUUAAUGUGCCAAGCACAAGAGAUUUCCCUAAGAGAGGUUAGAUGUAGAGAGGCAUGCCAUACAUAUAAGACUCUGAGGACCAUGUAUCACCAAUGCUCUUCUAGGUGUUGUUGAUGGUCAUCACAGCCUUGGUGAUGGAAAAAUUGAAGAAAAGAGAAGGAGCUUUUCAUGCAAUGACUGAACUGUCCCCAGCACGCAACCCAGGAGAAGCCCAGAGGGAAUCAAAGCCAUAAAAUUUAUGACUCGACAUUUCUAAAAAUGGAUCGCUGUCUCUUGGAGUUCUUCUGAAGCACAUGUGUAUGAAUAAGUGAGUGCCUGGCAUCCAGCAAGAUCAGCUAUAUUCUGAGGUCUCCCAUGUUCUUUCAUGACCUUGGAUAUUCUCAUAAACAUUUCAGUGCUGGAGGAAAGGUUAGAAACUCAGACCUCUGUGUUUGUGCUCCUGUUCUGCCUUAGAUUAACUUAAAUAUUGUUUGUAGAUGUUACAGAUAAAUCGCCUCAACUGUGAGCCUGCCUGGUUGGUUAAAAGGAUGCUGUUUAUUUCUCUAAGGAAGUUGCCCAGCUGGGUAAGAGAGCUGUUGGACCAUUGCCUCACUGCACACAAAUUUCCUACUUAUUUCAAGACUCAACUUCAGAGAGUGCACUUAACUGAUUUGCCUGGCUGUCAUCUGUCAUGUUCUCUUGGACUCAAGUGUCACAAUGGCAGAGAACUUGUCAUCUCUUUCCUCUCCAAUUCCUCUAGUGCCUAGAAUGGUGCCAGCCAUCUGCAGCUGCUCCAUCAAGGGAGACUGAAGUCAACACUAAAGAGUGAUUGAACCACAGUGAGGGUACUCCCUUGCCUUUGGAAUAACCCCAGUGCUUCUCUGUGUUACUCUGAGUACCAGCCAUGGUUUUCUUCUGGGACCUCUGAACAGUAGAAUUGUGCCAUCCUAUGAGGACUCUGUGGCUGCACUAACCAUAAAAGGAGGCGACCACCAGAAAGAAGCUUUCAGUGCUGGGAUGCAGAGGGACCUCAGCCUUUACCUCCUUGCUGUGGAAAAGCAGCUGGCCAUACUGGACACGAUAUAUGAGAUGCACGCGCUGGAAUCUGACGAGGUGGUGUGACAGCCACAGGACAGCACCUCCUAACUUCAGGGAAUAAAGUCUGUAAAGUGUAAAAAAAAAAAAAAGAAA